AGAACAUUUGACGCUCUAAAAAAAAAAAAAUAAUAAUAAAUUGCAUUGCAUGUGUUAAAUGUGUUGCACCUGUGCAAACCUGAUUUAUAAGGUUUAGAAAGACACCUCUUUUUAGCUUUCAAAAAAAUUAUGUAACAAUAAUUUGUUCUGUUGUCAGCCUAGAUGUAGAAGUUAUCAGUUGAUUAAUUUUGUUUAAAACCAUUUUAAGAAAAAUUAAGAUUGUGUCUGAUAAAAUAAAGAAUAUCAAAACAGCUUAUCAGAAUUGUCAUUUUUUGCAUUAAUCUAAAAAAAAGUGUUGUCCUUGUUCAAAAAUGUAACUAGCUCGUAAUCAUAAUAUGUAUCAAGUAGUUGUUGUUGGUCAUUUAUAGCACGAACAAAAUAUAGUUUUAUUUUUUCAGGGAGUUUUCAGUGAGACCAGUUCCAGCUUUCACAAUAAAAUGAUUUUGUUUUUCUCUUCCUGUUAACACAAAGAAUACCGUCUUUUUCAAACUCAUUUUACUUUUAAUAUUUGCAUAUCUGAUGUUUUAUGUGAGGUGUAGCAUAUAAAAUCAUGCACAUAUUAUGUCCCUGUGGCAGCUGUGAAGUCAGUCUACAAAACACAGCACACGGAUUUAUACACAUCCAGAGAGUCUGGACAUUUACUCUUCAGGUGACAAAUCUUUAUUAUUUGUUUCAUUUAUUUAUUAUUAUUUUAUUUUAUUCCAUAUUGUGUUUUUUAACUCCAUAAUAUUCAACAUUUUUGCUUCAGGGUUUUGCAUGUAAGAUGGUUUAACUACAAAGCAAAACAGAUUUGAUUUAUUUUGGUAGAGUUUUAGAUUAGUCGAGAAAACAUCCAUUUAAAGAUAAUAUAAUAAAUGAAUGAGAUCUUCUAUAUGAACUAUAAAAGUAAAAUUUGACAAAUGAAUGUCAAACUACUUUAUUUGAAUUUGACAGGAUCCUUUCAUGAGCCUAAAUAUAUGUUGUUUUUCUCAGCUGAAAAGACAAAAACAGGGAAGAUGAAUAGCUCUACACUGAACUUCAGCAUGCAUGAAGAAUCUACAAACUCCACAAAUGUUUCUUUUGGGCUGUCCAGUUGGGGCAUGUUGGAGAGUUCUCUGUUUUGCUUCAAUUUGCUGUUUGGUUUUCCAACGCACUCCUAUAUUGUAUGGCUAAUCAUAACUGGAACAGGAAGUGGAGUUGCAUCAGAGUUCUUCAUCCUUAAUCUCUCUGUUUGUGAGACUGCUUACAGUCUGAGUGCUAUUUUCCAUUUACUGUCAUUUUUCUUUUCAAAACUCAUGAUAAGACAACAUUUUUUUCAAGGAUUCGCCAUCACUGGUCGUCCUCUGUUUCAGUGUCUGAUGUGUGUUGAGUGUUACCUGGCAGUGGUUCAUCCUGCAACCUUUCUGAAGUACAAACCUCUCAGAUACAGAGUGAUCUGCUGCACUGUGGCCUGGAUAUUUAUUUUUGGCUCUUGUUUGUUCUGCAUGUGUAACCCUGUAUAAUUUAAAUUUAUUAUAAAAAAGGAAUAAAUUAG
ensembl:lncRNA